AAGGGUCCGUAGGCGGUUUGGUAAGUCAGUGGUGAAAGCCCAUCCGCUCAACGGUGGAACGGCCAUUGAUACUGCCAGACUUGAAUUAUUAGGAAGUAACUAGAAUAUGUAGUGUAGCGGUGAAAUGCUUAGAGAUUACAUGGAAUACCAAUUGCGAAGGCAGGUUACUACUAAUGGAUUGACGCUGAUGGACGAAAGCGUGGGUAGCGAACAGGAUUAGAUACCCCAGU
rnacentral:rRNA from 1 species